GUUUCAGUUUUCAAGGUAUGCUGCUUUGCUACUUGGUUUGGCAUAUGGAUACAGAAGAAAUGAAUACCUAAAACCAAUAGCUGCACGUGAAAAGGAGGCUGAGGCAGCACAAGCCAAGGAAAGAGCAGAGCUGGAGGCCAUUAGAAAGGCUGAGGCUGCAAAGAUUCCCUUGUUCUAGAUAAGAUGUGUCCCAGGACCUUCUUCGUUAGUGCAACUCAAUUUUCACAUUACUUUCACAAUAUUUAAGAUGACUGUCUGGUUGUAAUUCCUUGUAAUAAAAGUGUUAUGGUGCUGUGUUGAAUAAAAUUGUUUUAUUUUUG